CCACACUGCUCCUUCUCACACUCCUUUGCUGGCUCUUCCUCAUCUCAAGCUCUUAAUGUGGGGUCCCCAAAGUUCAGUCCUUAGGCUCGAUUUCUUCUCUAUUUACAUCCCCCUUGGAGAGCUCCUCCAGUGUCAUGGCUCUAAAUACCAUCUACACACUGAUGCCAUUUCUUAUCUCCAGCCCAGGCAUCUCCAACUCCAGACUCGAAGAUGCAACUGUUCUGUCAACAUCUCCACUUGGAUAACCAACUGGCAUUUCGUCUUAAUGCGCCUUCAACUGAACUGCUUACCCCUUAGCGCCACCAGCUUCCCUCAUGGGUUUCUACAUGUCCAGAAGUGGUAACCCCAUCCUUUGGCAUCAUGUCUUUUUUAUACGCCUUCAUCCAAACCAUCAGCCAAUCCUGGCUCUCCCUUCGAAAUUGAUGUAGAAUCUGACUGCUUCUCAGCAGCUCCAUCACAAGCUUCACAAGCUUCAUGGUCUCUCACCUGGAUUAUCGCAGCAGCCUCCAGGGACAGGUCUCCUGGCUUCCACUCAGCCCCAUUAGUCUAUUCUUGAUUCAGCAGUAGCCAGAGGGAUCCUUUAAAAAUGUUCAUCAGAUCAACUCACUCGGCUCAAAGCCCUUCACGGGACCCCCAUUUCCAAGGCCCCACAUCAUCUGCACCCCAUGACCUCUGACCUUUUCUUCCUCCUCAC